rnacentral:rRNA from 1 species
UACGUAGGGGGCCAGCGUUGUCCGGACUUACUGGGCGUAAAGCGCGCGCAGGCGGACUCGUAUGUGCCGUGUGAAAGCGCCGGACUUCCUCCGGUGAGGUCAUGGUAGACAGCGGGUCUUGAGGCUCAGAGAGGUCGGUGGAAUUCCGGGUGGAGCGGUGAAAUGCGUAGAGAUCCGGAGGAACACCAGGGGCGAAAGCGGCGGACUGGCUGAGUACUGACGCUGAGACGCGAAGGCGUGGGGAGCAAACAGG